GUGCUCACUUGGGCAGCACAUUCACUGAAACUGAAACAAUAGAGAGAAGAUGAGCGUGGCCCUUGUGCAAGGGUGACACGAAAAUUCAAGAAGCAUUCCUUUUUUUU